rnacentral:sRNA from 1 species
UUUUAGCCCCGAUUGUAACGGAAAUCCUUUUUGGCGGCGGCUUCGCCGCCGCCAAAAAGAUUGCAGUGGAAAGCGGGAUGAGUC